CCUACGGGUGGCAGCAGUGAGGAAUAUUGGUCAAUGGGCGCGAGCCUGAACCAGCAAAGUAGCGUGAAGGAUGACUGCCCUACGGGUUGUAAACUUCUUUUAUAAAGGAAUAAAGUGAGGCACGUGUGCCUUUUUGUAUGUACUUUAUGAAUAAGGAUCGGCUAACUCCGUGCCAGCAGCCGCGGUAAUACGGAGGAUCCGAGCGUUAUCCGGAUUUAUUGGGUUUAAGGGGAGCGUAGAUGGGUUGUUAAGUCGGUUGUGAAAGUUUGCGGCGCAACCGGAAAAUUGCAAUUGAUACUGGCAGCCUUGAGUACAGUUGAGGUAGGCGGAAUGCGUGGUGUAGCGGUGAAAUGCUUAGAUAUCACGAAGAACUCCGAUUGCGAAGGCAGCUUACUAAUCUGCCACUGACAUUGAUGCUCGAAAGUGUGGGUAUCAAACAGGAUUAGAUACCCGGGUAGUC
rnacentral:rRNA from 1 species